rnacentral:rRNA from 1 species
UUAGAGUUUGAUCCUGGCUCAAGACGAACGCUGGCGGCGCGCCUAACACAUGCAAGUCGAACGAGAGAUGAGGAGCUUGCUCUUCAAAUCGAGUGGCGAACGGGUGAGUAACGCGUGAGGAACCUGCCUCAAAGAGGGGGACAACAGUUGGAAACAACUGCUAAUACCGCAUAAGCCCACAGCUCGGCAUCGAGCAGAGGGAAAAGGAGCAAUCCGCUUUGAGAUGGCCUCGCGUCCGAUUAGCUAGUUGGUGAGGUAACGGCCCACCAAGGCGACGAUCGGUAGCCGGACUGAGAGGUUGAACGGCCACAUUGGGACUGAGACACGGCCCAGACUCCUACGGGAGGCAGCAGUGGGGAAUAUUGCACAAUGGGGGAAACCCUGAUGCAGCGACGCCGCGUGGAGGAAGAAGGUCUUCGGAUUGUAAACUCCUGUUGUUGAGGAAGAUAAUGACGGUACUCAACAAGGAAGUGACGGCUAACUACGUGCCAGCAGCCGCGGUAAAACGUAGGUCACAAGCGUUGUCCGGAAUUACUGGGUGUAAAGGGAGCGCAGGCGGGAGAACAAGUUGGAAGUGAAAUCCAUGGGCUCAACCCAUGAACUGCUUUCAAAACUGUUUUUCUUGAGUAGUGCAGAGGUAGGCGGAAUUCCCGGUGUAGCGGUGGAAUGCGUAGAUAUCGGGAGGAACACCAGUGGCGAAGGCGGCCUACUGGGCACCAACUGACGCUGAGGCUCGAAAGUGUGGGUAGCAAACAGGAUUAGAUACCCUGGUAGUCCACACCGUAAACGAUGAUUACUAGGUGUUGGAGGAUUGACCCCUUCAGUGCCGCAGUUAACACAAUAAGUAAUCCACCUGGGGAGUACGACCGCAAGGUUGAAACUCAAAGGAAUUGACGGGGGCCCGCACAAGCAGUGAAGUAUGUGGUUUAAUUCGACGCAACGCGAAGAAUCUUACCAAGUCUUGACAUCCCUUGACGAUGCUGGAAACAGUAUUUCUCUUCGGAGCAAGGAGACAGGUGGUGCAUGGUUGUCGUCAGCUCGUGUCGUGAGAUGUUGGGUUAAGUCCCGCAACGAGCGCAACCCUUAUGGUCAGUUACUACGCAAGAGGACUCUGGCCAGACUGCCGUUGACAAAACGGAGGAAGGUGGGGAUGACGUCAAAUCAUCAUGCCCUUUAUGACUUGGGCUACACACGUACUACAAUGGCGUUAAACAAAGAGAAGCAAGACCGCGAGGUGGAGCAAAACUCAGAAACAACGUCCCAGUUCGGACUGCAGGCUGCAACUCGCCUGCACGAAGUCGGAAUUGCUAGUAAUCGUGGAUCAGCAUGCCACGGUGAAUACGUUCCCGGGCCUUGCACA